GAAUAUUGGACAAUGGGCGAAAGCCUGAUCCAGCCAUGCCGCGUGAGUGAUGGAGGCCUUCGGGUUGUAAAACUCUUUUAGCGGGGAAGAUAAUGACGGUACCCGCAGCAAAAGCCCCGGCUAACUUCGUGCCAGCAGCCGCGGUAAUACGAAGGGGGCUAGCGUUGUUCGGAUUUACUGGGCGUAAAGCGCGCGUCGGCGGGUCGUUAAGUCGGGGGUGAAAUCCCGAGGCUCAACCUCGGAACUGCCUUCGAUACUGGCGACCUAGAGUCCGGGAGAGGUGUAUGGAACUCCUAGUGUAGAGGUGGAAUUCGUAGAUAUUAGGAAGAACACCGGUGGCGAAGGCGAUACACUGGCCCGGUACUGACGCUGAGGCGCGAAAGCGUGGGGAGCAAACGGG
rnacentral:rRNA from 1 species